UCCCUUCUGAGCUAUAGUGAACAGGGCAAC
rnacentral:piRNA from 1 species